rnacentral:rRNA from 1 species
AUUGAACGCUGGCGGCAGGCCUAACACAUGCAAGUCGAACGGUAGCACAGAGAGCUUGCUCUCGGGUGACGAGUGGCGGACGGGUGAGUAAUGCCUGGGAAACUGCCCGAUGGAGGGGGAUAACUACUGGAAACGGUAGCUAAUACCGCAUAACGUCGCAAGACCAAAGUGGGGGACCUUCGGGCCUCACACCAUCGGAUGUGCCCAGAUGGGAUUAGCUAGUAGGUGGGGUAAUGGCUCACCUAGGCGACGAUCCCUAGCUGGUCUGAGAGGAUGACCAGCCACACUGGAACUGAGACACGGUCCAGACUCCUACGGGAGGCAGCAGUGGGGAAUACUGCACAAUGGGCGCAAGCCUGACGCAGCCAUGCCGCGUGUAUGAAGAAGGCCUUCGGGUUGUAAAGUACUUUCAGCGGGGAGGAAGGCGGUGAAGUUAAUAACUUCACCGAUUGACGUUACCCGCAGAAGAAGCACCGGCUAACUCCGUGCCAGCAGCCGCGGUAA